UACGGGGGGGGCAAGCGUUGUUCGGAAUUACUGGGCGUAAAGGGCUCGUAGGCGGCCAACUAAGUCGGACGUGAAAUCCCUCGGCUUAACCGGGGAACUGCGUCCGAUACUGGAUGGCUUGAGUUUGGGAGAGGGAUGCGGAAUUCCAGGUGUAGCGGUGAAAUGCGUAGAUAUCAGGAGGAACACCUGUGGUGUAGACGGCUUUCUGGACCAUUGCUGACGCUGAGACACGAAAGCGUGGGUAGCAAACAGG
rnacentral:rRNA from 1 species